ACGUAGGAUCCGAGCGUUGUCCGGAUUUACUGGGUAUAAAGGGUGCGUAGGCGGGUUUGUGCUUCAGAGGUUAAAGACCGCAGCUCAACUGCGGGAGUGCCUCUGAUAAGGAGAAUCUUGGAUAUGAGAGGGGUAGGUAGAAUUCCUGGUGUAGCGGUGAAAUGCGUAGAUAUCAGGAGGAAUACCAGUGGCGAAGGCGGCCUACUGGCUCAUAAUCGACGCUGAGGCACGAAAGCGUGGGGAUCAAACAGGAUUAGAUACCCUGGUAGUCCACGCCCUAAACGAUGUAUGCUUGGUGUUGGGGAGCAAUUCUCAGUGCCGUAGGAAGUCUGUUAAGCAUACCACCUGGGGAGUACGAUCGCAAGGUUG
rnacentral:rRNA from 1 species